UCCCUCCCAGGACUGUGAAACUAGUGGGUCUGAACACAGACGCCAUAGAAAAAGUUCUAUCACGUUCAGAAACAACAGUGGUUUAGCUGUGACAUCUUUUUCUUUUUAGGAGGGAAAAAAAAAAAAAAUGUGAAAGGGAUGUCCCCUAAGGGAAGGGAGAUAUUCUGGUCCACAGACGCGUGCCCAGAACUGGACACAGGCUAUCAUUACCGUCCCCGUUCCUGGGACACCUCUGGAAGGGUGCCUUUUAAGAAUCCCCUCUUUUUUCCUCCCCCAGGCUUUCCUCUCUGAUGGAAAAACAACAACAACAACAACAACAAAACCCUUCUUUUUCCCUGACCCCUAUCCCAUCUCAUCAUCCCCCAUCUUCCUAACUGUAGUUUGCAAGCCUGCUGCAUUUGCGAACCCUUCUCAAAAUUCCAAGAGGAAAGACCAGGGUGAAAGACACUGGCACACAGACUGGGAAAUCUGCACCUUGGCAGAGGUUACAGAGCCAGAGAGCCUCUGAAAAGAGGAAACUCCUGUAGGAAUGCCCACUCUGCAGCAGAAGAGAAAUGUCCUAAAAGCUAAGCUGAGUUACAGAGACACCCUCCCUGGCCACGGAAACCUUUGCUGGGAUCUAUAACUUCAACUCGCUCCAAGUUUCCUCGAUAGAAGUUUCUGGCUGACAGUCCCAACAUGUAACUGAGGCACAGUGAGAAGUUAUUGUUCCGUGUGUACUCUUGGGAAGCUCUCUUCCAGAGCAGAUUAAAAUCUUUCUUUUGCUGUAUUGAAAGAUAGAGUUCACAUCUGCCUCUUUCCAAAACAAGAAAGAUUCUUACUUUUAACCGAAUCUUAAGAAAAAGAAAAGGGUUUUUUUUUUUUUUUAAGGGAUUGGCACACCGCCCUGGUUUUUAAAAAUAGGGAAAAGUAAUUUAAUGCUGAUAUUUCUAGUUUAAAAACUUCUUUUGUUGCAGCAGUGAACGUGCCCGCGAUUUCCAGCUCUCUGCGGUUAGCAAUAUUAUCUUAAGUAACUUUUGGCGCCCUUCGUAAGACUUUUGGAUAUGGGACGAUUGUUUGCGCCCUCUAGGCAAGGGCUGGAUCCAAGUUCAGCACCAAAGCCCUGCACAUCCGCUCCUGCUUUCUCUCCUAUCUCCGCCAGCUCCCGCUCCCUCCCCCGCGGGAUGGGGGGGGGGAGGAGGGGGAGAGGCGGGGGGAACUCUACAAAGCACCGUUCCAACUACAGCCUUUGGAAACAAGACUGAGAAAAAUACAGUAGAAGAGUUACAGUUACAGAAAGGCUUCUGGUAACUUUCUCUCCAACAGGCAUAAAUUUAAACACACACACAAAGAAACAGAUGUUCCGCAAAGGGCAGUCUGGGGGUAGAAAACAUUUCCAACUCUCCCCUCUUCCCAAGUUGCAAAAGUAAAUCCUUGUCCAGAGUUCACAAAGAUACUAAAGACACUUGAGAGAGAGCUCGGAUGGAAGGAGGGGAGAAGGAAGAAAGGAUAGUAAGAGAGAACAGUUGUAGGAAACAGGUGAAGUACAAAACCUGGUUUCCUGCAAUCACAUAAAUGAACCAUUGUUAGGAAGGAUAAGCCCCUUAUUGGAAAUAACCGCUCCAAUCAUUUAUUUUGCAAGUGCUAGGAGGCUGCCUUGAAAUGGGAUUGUCUUUGCGCAAAGGAGGCUCCUGUCAUGCUCUCUGCUAUCCAUAUUCUCCCUGGCACAGAGCCCAGCCUUGCAUUUACUGUGUUUUAUUUGCAGAAAUGUUACCUUGCCAGCUUUAGUGAAAUCCUCUUAGAUAUAUAAAUUACGUCAAUAAGGUUUCACUUAUAUGUACAGCUCAAAUACCUCUCAUUUCGGGAGGUUACUUGGUAGGAAGAUCUUAUUAAUAUGAUUUAGAUUUUAAUGCCCAAAGCAGUGAAGAUAAAAUUGGGGUUCAUAAGUGACAAUGCCAUUAACUCUGUAGUUGUUACCAAGACUAACUUUAUCACUAGCAUUUUCCAAUAUUUUUCUCUAGUUUUUUGACCUGCUGGUCACUUGUGUGCAGAUCUUUCUUAGAUGCAUAUAAUACUAAAUUGAAUAAUGUCACUGAACUGAGAAUCCAAGUGGAUUUUAACAUCAAAUUUCCAAACCAGAUUUGAUUAGAAGGCCUACAGCCUUGGGAAAUAACUCGAUGGGAAUUUAAUCCAAAGAUGGGAAAGAGCCCAUACUUAUUUUCCAUUCGCUUCCCAACAGAAUUAGGUGCUCAGAGGGAAGGAAGAGAUGGAUGUACUUUGGUCAGAGGCUGCCAGUUACUGUCUCCAAGACAAGCUACUGCAGUUGGCUUCCACUGGAUUGGUAUCAAAGACUUGUCCAAGAGGCCAGACUCCAGCUAAGAGUUAGCAAGUCAGCAAUCUUCCACACACACACACACACCCUCCACAGGGGUUGUUGUGGUAACAAGAACAAAUGUGAACUUGGCCAGCCUUAAUAUCCUAUUUGGUACCGACCAUAUAUUUAAACAGCAGAAUUCAAGAAGAGUGGAGAAAAAAACACUUUCUCCCCUUCCUCCUUUCAAAUGUAUAAAACAGCUGUCAAUCCACCUGUGAAACAUUCUAUCUCCCCUAAAACUACUGUUUAGAGUUCAGGAGGAGAGGCUUGCCUAUUCCUGCAAAGUACUUGAAAAGUCAAAGCUUCUAAGAUAACCAGGGAAGUUUGUAAUGCUGCCUAUCCAAUAUGUGACUUUCCAAAGCUCAGUACCGUCCUGGAUAGUUCAGGCAAGUUUUUAAGCCACGCAUUUUUAAAAGUUGAACCUCCCCUUGCACAACAGUUAAAAGCUUCCCCGAAUUCAAAAAUAAUAAUUAAUGCAAAGUUAAUAUUUCCCUAGAAGAGUUUUUCUAACUUUCUCCGAAAGGCAAUUAGGAAAGCAUUACAAUUCAUGCAAAAAUUCCCCCAGUUUUUUUUUUUUUUUUCUUAAACUCAAAAACUCUUUCCUAUUGUGCUUGCUAAAUCCGGAAGAGCUUGUAGCUUUGACAGCUUGAACCACACCAUCCCCUUCAGAGCCGCAGAGAACUUUAGAUCUUUUCUGCCCCGCCCCCUCUGGCUACUGAGAACCAUUGUACACCCAGGCUUCCUCACGAUUGGAUAAAGCUUUUGUCAAUCUCCCAUGUUGUACCAUUGAUUAGAGGAUCGAAUCGUCAAUUAUUCUCCGGGUCCAGACAUUUCUUUUCGAGUUAGGUUGACUGCUGAGGCCAGACGUCUUUUUACAGAACAGAGCACGUACAGGAUUUUUUUCCCCCUUUCUGGAACCGAGCAAGCGCUAGGAGGAAAAAAAUCUGUCAAGCUCAGCAAUUUUUUCAAAUCUCGGGGAGGAAAAAAAAAAAAAAAA